rnacentral:rRNA from 1 species
GAUGUCGGCUCAUCACAUCCUGGGGCUGAAGUAGGUCCCAAGGGUAUGGCUGUUCGCCAUUUAAAGUGGUACGCGAGCUGGGUUUAGAACGUCGUGAGACAGUUCGGUCCCUAUCUGCCGUGGGCGUUGGAUGAUUGAUUGGGGCUGCUCCUAGUACGAGAGGACCGGAGUGGACGCAUCACUGGUGUUCCAGUUGUCUCGCCAGAGGCAUUGCUGGGUAGCUAAGUGCGGAAGAGAUAAGUGCUGAAAGCAUCUAAGCACGAAACUUGCCAAGAGAUGAGUCAUCCCUGACUUUAAGUCAGUAAGGGUUGUUGUAGACUACGACGUAGAUAGGUCAGGUGUGUAAGUGUAGUGAUACAUUGAGCUAACAGAUACUAAUUGCCCGAGAGGCUUAACUAUACAACGCUCAAG